UACGUAGGUGGCAAGCGUUGUUCGGAAUUAUUGGGCGUAAAGGGUGAGUAGGCGGUUUGUUAAGUCGGUUGUGAAAGCCCGGGGCUCAACCCCGGAGGGUCGACCGAUACUGGCAGACUAGAGUACAGAAGAGGUAACUGGAAUUCCCGGUGUAGCGGUGAAAUGCGCAGAUAUCAGGAGGAACACCGAUGGCGAAGGCAGGUCUCUGGGCCACUACUGACGCUGAGAAGCGAAAGCGUGGGUAGCAAACAGG
rnacentral:rRNA from 1 species